rnacentral:rRNA from 1 species
CCUAGCAUAAGUCAGACAAGUGAACCCGCCGAAUUUAAGCAUAU